GAUGGCCAUAUUAUGCUGAAACACUGGUUCUUGUAUGAUUACUGAAGUUAAGCAAUAUUGAGCCUGGUCAAUAUCUAGAUGGGUGACCACUUGGGAAUACCAGAUGCC